CAGGAGUGAAGCUGCUUUCUGCUGGAUUGAAAAGUCCACACUGUGAACUGGAGACUCUCAGGCUGUCAGGCUGUCUGAUCACAGAGGAAGGCUGUGCUUCUCUGGUCUCGGCUCUGAGCUUCAACCCCUCCCACCUGAGAGAGCUGGACCUGAGCUACAAUCAUCCAGGAGACUCAGGAGUGAAGCUGCUGUCUGCUGAACUGGAAGAUCCUCACUGGAGACUGGAGACUCUCAGGGUGGAGCCUGAUGGAGUCCGAUGGUUGAG